CUACGGUGAAUACGUUCCCGGGACCUUGUACUUACACCGCCCGUCAAGCCAUGGAAGCUGGGUGUACCUAAAGUCGAUAACCGUAAGGAGUCGCCUAGGGUAAAACUAGUAACUGGGCUUA
rnacentral:rRNA from 1 species